ensembl:snRNA U2 U2 spliceosomal RNA
ACCGCUUCUCAGCCUUUUGACUAAGAUCAAGUAUAGUAUCUAUUCUUAUCAGUUUAAUAUCUGAUACAUUCUCUAUGUGAAGACAAUAUAUUAAAUACUGCUU